rnacentral:rRNA from 1 species
CCCGCAACGAGCCCAUCCCUUGCCAUUAUUUGCCAUCAUUAAUUGGGCACUCUAUGGGACUGCCGGUGACAAACCGGAUGAAGGUGGGGAUGACGUCUAGUCCUCACGGCCCUUAUGACCCGGGCUUCACACUUCAUACACUGGUCGGUACAUAGGGUCUUGAAGCCCCGUGGUGGAGUCAAUCUUAUUAUACCGAUUGUACUCCGGAUCGGACUCUGCAACUCAAGUUGCGUGAAGUCGGGAAUCUUUAGUAAUCGCAGAUUAGCAUGCUGCUGUUGAAAA